UACGUAGGGUGCGAGCGUUAAUCGGAAUUACUGGGCGUAAAGCGUGCGCAGGCGGUUCGUUGUGUCGGUGGUGAAAGCCCCGGGCUUAACCUGGGAAUGGCCAUGGAAACUGGCGAACUGGAGUGUGGCAGAGGGGGGUAGAAUUCCACGUGUAGCAGUGAAAUGCGUAGAGAUGUGGAGGAAUACCGAUGGCGAAGGCAGCCCCCUGGGAUAACACUGACGCUCAUGCACGAAAGCGUGGGGAGCAAACAGG
rnacentral:rRNA from 1 species